AUUGAACGCUGGCGGCAGGCUUAACACAUGCAAGUCGGGCGGGGGAAAGUACUUCGGUACUGACCUUAGCGGCGGACGGGUGAGUAAUACUUAGGAAUCUGCCUAUUAGUGGGGGACAACAUCUCGAAAGGGAUGCUAAUACCGCAUACGUCCUACGGGAGAAAGCAGGGGAUCUUUAUGACCUUGCGCUAAUAGAUGAGCCUAAGUCGGUUUAGCUAGUUGGUGGGGUAAAGGCCUACCAAGGCGACGAUCUGUAGCGGGUCUGAGAGGAUGAUCCGCCACACUGGGACUGAGACACGGCCCAGACUCCUACGGGAGGCAGCAGUGGGGAAUAUUGGACAAUGGGGGGAACCCUGAUCCAGCCAUGCCGCGUGUGUGAAGAAGGCCUUAUGGUUGUAAAGCACUUUAAGCGAGGAGGAGGCUCUUUUGGUUAAUACCCAAGAUGAGUGGACGUUACUCGCAGAAUAAGCACCGGCUAACUCUGUGCCAGCCGCCGCCGUAA
rnacentral:rRNA from 1 species